rnacentral:sRNA from 1 species
AUCUAAUUCAAAAUAACUGUGAACUAAAGAUUGAACUCCACGAUUUAACGUAUAAUGUGCUUCUGAUGCGGCAUACGAGAUUAUACUAAUCUAUAUAUACAUUUUUGCAGCCAUUUUAGCAAAUAAAUCCUGGACUUGGACUUAUUUACAAUCUAAUGCAAUUAGCAUUAAAUCUUUUUUCCAAAAUAAUU